rnacentral:rRNA from 1 species
AUUGAACGCUGGCGGCAGGCCUAACACAUGCAAGUCGAGCGGUGCGGCGGACGGGUGAGUAAUGCCUAGGAAUCUGCCUGGUAGUGGGGGCUAACCUCCGGAAACGGGCGCUCAUACCGCCUACUAUCAGAUCCACCUAUGUCGAAUUUGCGAGUUGGUGGGGUAACGGCGUACCAGGGCGACGAGCCCUAGCUGGUCCGAGAGGAUGACCAGCCACACUGGAACUGAGACACGGGCCAGAAUCCUACGGGAGGAAGCAGUGGGGAAUAUUGCACAAUGGGCGCAAGCCUGAUGCAGCCAUGCCGGGUGUAUGAAGAAGGCCUUCGGGUUGGAAAGUACUUGCAGCGGGGAGGCGUUACCCGCAGAAGAAGGACCGGCUAACUCCGUGCCAGCAGCCGCGGUAAUAC